GGCCAGAAGUCCAGGGCUAGGAGCCUCAGCCGGCGGACGCCAGGAAACAGGUCUAGGUUAAUAGCAGGUAAUUGUGACAAGUCCAGUGUGGGUUACUGGUCAUGAAGAAUCCAUUGUUGAUGACAUCCCAGAAGAGAACACUAAGUCUUAGCUUUCAUCUUACCCCUGAACUUCCCUUCCUCUGAAGAGUGGAAUACCACCCAGCAUCCUCUCACAUACAAAGAAAGAACAAAUUGCUGAUAGACACAGAUGUCCAUCAAUCUCAAAAGUCGUCAUGAAACCUCUGGAAGAAUUGAGCUGGUCGACUAUGCAAACAGUUGUCAAGAGCCUAUAAAAUAUGCAGCAUAAAAUUUUUCCUUUGUAGUCAAACCUGAUUAUUCCUCUUAGAUACUGGGAACAGAAUUUCACAGUCGUCAGAGAAUAUACCUUUUGUAUUUUCGUAUUAAAUAUGUACUCCUAUUACUUAACAAUUGUAGUUUAACUCCUUUUUUAGGUAAAAUUCUAAUUUUUCUCUUCUGUUAAAAAUUUCCAGUUCCAACACGAAGAUAAUAAAGAAUAUUAAUUUUAUCCUUAUUAACUUGAAGGAAGUAAUAUUUAUUUUUGUAUUUCUGUACUUAAGUAUAUCACAAAUACAGAUUUCUGUAGUUGGAGAAUUAAUAUAAAGUAACAUAGUAUUCAAUAAGAAGGGAUUUUUCUUUAUUAAAAAGAGGUCUGAAUUAUAAACUAAAUAUCUGUGUAACUUUGAACAAUUUAUUUA
rnacentral:lncRNA from 10 species